ACUAACUUAGACAGAGGGGUUGUUUUAUAUUAAGGUGAAAUGUAAAACUGGCUGUCCUUCGUUACAGACGCUUUGGGAUCUUCGUCCUCUUACAAUUCCUGUUGUCAGAUUGGAUCUCAGCCUUAACCUUGAGAGGAUCUGAGGCACGGUCUAGGGUUCUGACAGACAGUAGAUUUUGUUGGACAGAAGUGCAGAUUCUAAUUGAAAUAACAAUCAUGAUUCUCGUCGCAAUGCUAAUCAGAGUGCCCAUAAUGAUGAAGUCCCUCCCGCUUAUGGGAUGAGGACACGUAACAGAGCCCACACUCCAGAACCUGUUCCUACUCCGGGAGUCCCUCUAGUUCCGACCAGUCCUCCUCAAGCUCUACGAACCAAUGUUAAUUGUCCCCCAACUACUUAGAGGGACAUUUUAAAUGCAGAAUUCAGACAGUCUAUUGAUAUGCUGACAUAGUUGGUGGCUAAUCAGGAUCAACGAUUAGAAGAAGUUGGGUUUGCAUCGGUUACACCUAGAGCUACUAGGGUGGGCCAGUUCAUGAGAAUGAACCUGCCCAAAUUUUUUGGCACUAAGAUAGAGGAGGACCCGCAGGAGUUUGUAGAUGAAAUGAAGAAAAUUUUCAAAGUAAUGCAUGUGGAUCAGAUGAAAGGUGUUGAGUUGGCAGCCUACCAGCUUAAGGAUGUAGGGAACCAGUGGUACAACGAGUGGGAGGAUGCAAAGGGUGAUAGUGAUGAGCCCACAGUGUGGGACGAGUUCGUGGAAGCUUUUCUUGACCGAUUCUUUCCUCUGGAGCUGAGGAAAGCUAAAGCAUAGGAGUUCAUGAACCUCAAGCAGGGUAAGAUAAGCAUGCAGGAGUACACUUUAAAGUUUAAUCAGCUGGCCCAUUAUGCUCCUGAUAUGAUGGGUAUUAUGAGGUCCCGAAUGAGGAAGUUUGUAUCUGGCCUUUCGAAUAAUCUGGUGCUUGAGUGUUAGGGAGCCAUGCUGAAUAGGGAUAUGGACUUUGCUAGGCUGUCAGUUCAUAUACAACAAGUUGAAGAAAAGAAAAAGAAGAUUUCUGAAUCUAGGGAGAAGGAAAGAUAGGCAAAGAGAGCCAAGACAACGGACCAAAAUCACAGUCAGCGGCAGAGCGGCAAUUGGGGCAGCAAAUGGCAAAAGAAGAAGUUUUGGGGCAAGGCACAGUCCGCAGGCAACGUCCCAGCUCCCAGACCACCAGCUGACAUAAAAUCUCAGAGUUUUCAAACUAAUCACGGAUCCAGAGCACAGGAUACCCAGUCAUAGGGCAGUGUAGCUCAGCAGUAUCGUCCUUUUUUAUGGUGUGAGACUUGUGGUAGAAAUCAUUCUGGGAGGUAUCAGUUGGGCACACUUGCAUGUUACUCAUGUGGUCAGCCGGGUAACUUUUAGAGGGAUUUUACUUUGGCUAGGAGGAAUGUUGGUGGUGCCAAAUCUCAGGAUAAUUCUUCCAUGCCACCACCGCCUAAAAAAGGCACCAUAUCAGCUGCCAGGAGCGAUCACAACUGGUUAUAUGCUUUGACCAACCUCCAGGAUACGGAAGCCUCACCAGAUGUUGU